rnacentral:misc_RNA from 1 species
CGACCUUACAGAAGACCACAGCUAAAUAAUACUGUUUUCAAGCAGUAUUGUGUUCCUGUUGGUGAGUAAGGUGACCAGAGCUCUUGGGGGAUUGGGGAUUGGGUCGGCAACGCGCUUGCGAUGCUUCUGGUGUUGCAGGCGUCUACAAGCUACGGUAAUCGCUUACCAUCAGGUGAGCCGUACGCUUGUUUGCCGACCUAGUGACCUUACCAAGAGAUGGCUCCUUGAGCAGCAAAAGUCAGAAUCAAAUUGGCAAAAAGUGAAGCUAUCAAUACAUUGAUAUAGGCGACUAUAGCAUUUCAUCAG